ensembl:processed_transcript
UGGGUGCCAAGGCUCUGGGAAUGGUCGAGGGAUGGAUGAGGCCUUCCCUGACCACCUCGGGCCUCCUCCUCUGGGUCCUAGUCACAUGCUGCCUCCCACCACCACCUCUUCCUUGAUAGCCAUGGGGAGCCCUCCACUGCUCUUCUGGCUGUGACCUUGGCUAGAGAGUAUUUUCACUUCUCGGCUUCUGUCCCCCCCCCCCCCCCCGUGUUCGGACUUUCCCAUACCCCUCCUCACGGUGCAGAGGACCAAUGGCACAUGCCUGCUCAGCAUGGAACUACGCUUACCUUUCCUAGAGUGCCAGGAAGUAGCCCCUGUCCCCCCCCCCCUGUACCCGCUGCUGAGCUCAGUGCCUUGACACAAUGACUUCAAUCUGAAGGAGAUGUCCCCCCU